rnacentral:lncRNA from 1 species
CGUGCCCAUGAGCGGGCAGUCCAUGGGCAGCCAAAUGGCAUUGCUGGCCAACCAGCUGGGCCGCGAUGUAGACAACAGCCUCAAUGGGCGUGUGGACCUGCAGCAGUUCCUCAAUGGGCAGAACCUAGGAAUCAUGUCUCAGAUGAGUGACAUUGAGGAUGAUGCCCGAAAGAACCGGAAGUAUCCGUGUCCUCUGUGUGGCAAGCGUUUCCGGUUCAAUAGCAUCCUCUCCCUGCACAUGCGCACUCACACCGGUGAGAAGCCAUUCAAGUGCCCCUACUGUGACCACCGCGCGGCCCAAAAAGGAAACCUCAAGAUCCACCUGCGGACCCACAAGCUGGGCAACUUGGGGAAGGGGCGCGGGCGGGUACGUGAGGAGAA